rnacentral:tRNA from 1 species
AAGGAGGGCCAGAGGCAGUAAGCACUGCUAAUGCUUUCAUCCGCGGUUAAACUCCGCGGCCUCCUUA